GGGUGUGAGGGUGAUCUGGCUGCAACAUCUGUCACCCAUUGAUCUCCAGACUGGCUUCAUGGGUUCUGGCUGGCAAGGCUGGGUCUCCUUCCUCCCUUACCUCUCAGUAUAUCUCUUCUUGAGCUGCACACUGCCUUCCACAGUAGGGUGAGCUGUUCUUCAGAAAAGAGGAUACUUUUCUGAAAUAACUCCACUUAAUUCAAGAACCCUUUAAAACCAGGUGUGGUGGUGCAAUUCUGUAAUC
ensembl:misc_RNA 7SK 7SK RNA